GACGAACGCUGGCGGCGUGCCUAAUACAUGCAAGUUGAGCGCUGAAGGUUGGUACUUGUACCGACUGGAUGAGCAGCGAACGGGUGAGUAACGCGUGGGGAAUCUGCCUUUGAGCGGGGGACAACAUUUGGAAACGAAUGCUAAUACCGCAUAAAAACUUUAAACACAAGUUUUAAGUUUGAAAGAUGCAAUUGCAUCACUCAAAGAUGAUCCCGCGUUGUAUUAGCUAGUUGGUGAGGUAAAGGCUCACCAAGGCGAGGAUACAUAGCCGACCUGAGAGGGCGGGCGGCCGGAGUGGGAGGGAGACAGGGCACAAUGGGAUGGGGGAGGGAGCAGGAGGGAAACGUGGGGAAGGGGCGGAAGUCUGAGCGAGCAACGCCGCGGGAGUGAAGAGGGUUGUCGGGUCGGAAAAGUCGGUUGGUGGGGAAGAACGUGGGUGAGAGUGGAAAGCUCAGCAAGUGACGGUAACUACCCAGAAAGGGACGGCUAACUACGUG
rnacentral:rRNA from 1 species